rnacentral:rRNA from 1 species
UACGUAGGGGGCAAGCGGUUGUUCGGAAUUACUGGGCGUAAAGGGCGCGUAGGCGGCACGGCAAGUCAGGAGUGAAAGGCCUGGGACUCAACCGAGGAACUGCUUUUGAGACUGCCGAGCUAGAGUGCAGAGGGGCAACUGGAAUUCCCAGUGUAGCGGUAAAAUGCGUAGAUAUCAAAGAGGAACACCUGCGGCGAAGGCGGGUUGCUGGGCCGACACUGACUGAGGCGCGAAAGCUAGGGGAGC